CGCGCGUCGUGGGCAUUGUUUCUGGCGCACAGCUCAUUGGGCAACUGCGUGAACAGCGAACCCUAGCCCCAAUCCAGAGCCCGCACGCCCCCUUGCUCCUCGCUCCUCCUCCCUUCCUCCCCCCUCUGUCCGCCGCCACACUCCCUCCUUCCCAACCCUCGUCGCCACGGGCUCCACGCUAGGAGCCUUGCUGCCUAUUGCUCCACCUCCACCACCUCGCCUCUUUUUCCUCCUCGUCGUCCCAUCGCUCGCGCGCAGGUCGCCGCCGUGGGGAACAGGAAAGUGGCGGGAUGGGGUGGCCAUGAGUGCUUCCCAUCCCGACGGCGCCUCCUCCUCACAGCAUUGUCACAGGCGCACUUUCUUCUCCUCCCUCCUCCCUCCCUCUUCACCACAUCCACCAUUCCCCUCCCUCAUCCAUGAUGGACGCCCCCACAUGAAUCUCCCAGGCAGGGGAAGAAGGCCAUGGCGAGUUAGAGGCUACAGGGGUGGGUGGAGCGGCUGAUGUGGAUGGGGUCAGUGCUUGAGGGAGGGUUACCGACUGGAGCAACAGAAGCAACAAGCUCGACGAGGUUCAGAUUGGAUACAAAUGGUUCACCAAAGACAGAGUAUGAGCAAGAGUGAGUGGCUCGGCUGUGCAAUUUUUCUCCCGUCGAGGUAUGCCUCCGUCUCACUGGGACAAGGAUCAACUUGUCUGCCACAUAUUUGCUUUUCUUUGAUGGGCUGUGCAAUUUUUCUCCCGUCGAGGUAUGCCUCCGUCUCACUGGGACAAGGAUCGUCUGCCACAUAUUUGCUUGCUUUGAUGCACAUUAUUGUUCGAUUGGAGUGUGCUGACUAUACAGUCCUGAUUCUGUAAAAAGAGAAUAUGUUGUCCCAUCAGACAUGUUCAGUUUAGAUCCUGAUGAUGAUAAUUGUUAUGUUAUGUUAUGUCGGUUCCAUCAUUUCUUCAAGUGGUUCAGGUGUGAAUCUAAGGCCAUUUGCUGCCUCCUUAAUUUUUGGGUCUACCAUAUGCAGAGAUUCUCUCAUGGUUCUACUUCUAUCUUAUAGAAAGCAAAUAUUUUCUGUUGAUGAGCUUGUAGCUCUUUGCUACUGACCAUAUUUGUUCUCCAGGGCUGUAUGAAGUAAAAACUUUAUUUCUGCUCUAUGACUAUGUGUCGAAGAUGUUUUAUAGGUUGUAAGUUUGAUUUCUUUGUCUUGAACAUGGUUGGUUUAGUUUCUCAGAAUGUUGUUUGUCCAGUCUUUGUUAAUAGUGUGAUCACCACAGAACUAAAAGACAGUAUUUGGUACUGAAUUGUAGUUCGCUUUGUUAAUUUCUGCAACACCAUUUCAUAUUUACAUUUGAAUUGUACUUACUUAGUUUGUAAGGCCUUAUAGUUUCAAUGCUUUAUUUGCUUGUGGAGCUACGGCUCUGUUACAUUUUGAUGAUUAUAUAUUUUUGUAUAUGAAAUUUGUAGAACAAAAGUAAAAAAAUUGAAGGCCCAACUUACUUUGGUAUUAAGGGACAAGGAGCUGCAGUGUCAUGGAUUGGAGCGAAGGGGAGGUCCUGACGGCUGAAGAUGGUGUGGAUAGGAGGAGCUCAAAGCGGCAUUCCCAUGGAGGGAUGGCUGAUGUCAAGGC